UAGAGCUAGGAGAAUGUGGUUUUAUUUCCAUUGAUAAUUUGGUUAAGUUCUGCUGAGAGAAAAAUGAUUUUUGACAGAGCUUUGGACUACUUUGAUCUAUGCUCCCAAACUCUUCCUUAGUUUACACUGAAAUAAUGUACAGAGCAUCCAUUAAGGGGAAAUGAUCGGUUACAGUACACCCAGCUGCUCGAUUGAAUGGUUUCACUUUGCCUGUGUCAGUCUCAGCACAAAUCUCCAGGGCAAAGGAUUAUGUCACUCGUGUUCUCAGGAACGGAAGAAAGAAUUUUUAGAUGUGAAUUCACAGCACAGACUAAAGGAAGGAUCUGGAUUGCAUGACUUAAAAAGUUUUGUUCUGUGCGUGGAGUAAAGAUGAAAGAAAAGCAAGCUAGCAGAUGCACAUGGUUCUGCAGGAGCCAAUGUUGAGCAACAUGAAAUUGCAAAUGGAUUUUGGCAAGUAAUAUACCAACUGAUCAUAAUACAAUUGUAAUAAUAUUCCAUUUGCAAAUCUUACACCUAAAAUAACUUCUGUAAAUGACAUUUUGUUAAUCUGAUUGUAAAAUGUACA